rnacentral:rRNA from 1 species
UAGUCUGGUGCCAGCAGCCGCGGUAAUUCCAGCUCCAAUAGCGUAUAUUAAAGUUGUUGCAGUUAAAACGCUCGUAGUCGGAUUUCGGGGCAGGUUUGCCGGUCUGCCGAUGGGUAUGCACUGGUAGAACUGUCCUUCCUUCCGGAGACGGCGCCUACUCUUAACUGAGCGGGUGUCGGAGACGGAUCGUUUACUUUGAAAAAAUCAGAGUGUUUCAAGCAGGCAGCUCGCUUUUGCAUGGAUUAGCAUGGGAUAAUGAAAUAGGACUUUGGUGCUAUUUUGUUGGUUUCGAACACCGAGGUAAUGAUUAACAGGGACAGUCAGGGGCACUCGUAUUCCGCCGAGAGAGGUGAAAUUCUUAGACCAGCGGAAGACGAACCACUGCGAAAGCAUUUGCCAGGGAUGUUUUCACUGAUCAAGAACGAAAGUUAGGGGAUCGAAGACGAUCAGAUACCGUCGUAGUCUUAACCAUAAACCAUGCCGACUAGGGAUUGGAGGAUGUUCCUAUGUGACUCCUUCAGCACCUUUCGGGAAACUAAAGUCUUUGGGUUCCGGGGGGAGUAUGGUCGCAAGGCUGAAACUUAAAGGAAUUGACGGAAGGGCACCACCAGGAGUGGAGCCUGCGGCUUAAUUUGACUCAACACGGGGAAACUUACCAGGUCCAGACAUUGUGAGGAUUGACAGAUUGAGAGCUCUUUCUUGAUUCGAUGGGUGGUGGU